AGCCUGAACGCUGGCGGCGUGGCUAAGACAUGCAAGUCGUACGGUGUAGCAAUACACAGUGGCGAACGGGAGAGUAAUGAAUCGCUAAUGUGCCCCGGACUCUGGGAUAGCUAGUCGAAAGAUUAGGUAAUACCAGAUGACAUAUCUUUAUCGCAUGAUAGAGAUCUCAAAGGUCCGCCGGUCUGGGAGCAGGCGAUUUCGUAUCAGCUAGUUGGUGAGGUAACGGCUCACCAAGGCGACGACGC
rnacentral:rRNA from 1 species